UGGGGAAUAUUGGACAAUGGGGGAAACCCUGAUCCAGCAAUGCCGCGUGAGUGAAGAAGGCCUUAGGGUUGUAAAGCUCUUUCGCCCGCGAAGAUAAUGACGGUAGCGGGAGAAGAAGCCCCGGCUAACUCCGUGCCAGCAGCCGCGGUAAUACGGAGGGGGCUAGCGUUGUUCGGAAUUACUGGGCGUAAAGCGUACGUAGGCGGAUGCGCAAGUUGGGGGUGAAAUCCCGGGGCUUAACCUCGGAAUUGCCCUCAAAACUGCACGUCUUGAGACCGAGAGAGGUAAGGGGAAUGCCUAGUGUAGAGGUGAAAUUCGUAGAUAUUAGGAAGAACACCAGUGGCGAAGGCGCCUUACUGGCUCGGUACUGACGCUGAGGUACGAAAGCGUGGGGAGCAAACA
rnacentral:rRNA from 1 species